rnacentral:rRNA from 1 species
AAUAGAUACCCGGGUAGUCCAUGCCGUAAACGUUGGGCACUAGGUGUGGGGCUCAUUCCACGAGUUCCGUGCCGCAGCAAACGCAUUAAGUGCCCCGCCUGGGGAGUACGGCCGCAAGGCUAAAACUCAAAGGAAUUGACGGGGGCCCGCACAAGCGGCGGAGCAUGCGGAUUAAUUCGAUGCAACGCGAAGAACCUUACCAAGGCUUGACAUGCACGGGAAGCCACCAGAGAUGGUGGUCUCUUUGGACACUCGUGCACAGGUGGUGCAUGGUUGUCGUCAGCUCGUGUCGUGAGAUGUUGGGUUAAGUCCCGCAACGAGCGCAACCCUCGUCCCAUGUUGCCAGCGGGUUAUGCCGGGGACUCAUGGGAGACUGCCGGGGUCAACUCGGAGGAAGGUGGGGAUGACGUCAAAUCAUCAUGCCCCUUAUGUCUUGGGCUUCACGCAUGCUCAAUGGCCGGUACAAAGGGCUGCGAUACCGUAAGGUGGAGCGAAUCCCAAAAAGCCGGUCUCAGUUCGGAUUGGGGU